CGCCUGGCCGCGCGCGCGCACACGCCUCCUUCUCCCCCCCACCUCACCUCCGGGGAUGGACGGCGGGGUUAGUGCGAGACGACGCGCCUGGGCUUUGUUCGGUGUGCUGCACUGUUCAGCCUGCAACAAGUCACGCAUUUGUUGUUAUUUCUAUCCCUUCGCAGCACAAUUUCUAUUUUGUUUGUGGCGUGAGGUGGGAAUUGCAUGGAGAAGGGGCCAGAGAAAAAUUGCUUUGAUUGUUCGUGCUUUUAAACCGUUAUCUUCUGGAGUGCUUGAAAGUUCCAGAUGGAGUGCUUUUGGGUAAGGGGCCAGUAUUCCAGAACCCGAGACCAGUAUUCUGAGGAUAUCUGUUUGAAUCACACCAUGACAGAUCUUGGAAACUGAAUUCAACAAAAGUCUGAAAUUAAAAGUCUAAUGAUGACCAUGAAA